rnacentral:misc_RNA from 1 species
AUAUUUAUUUUUAAUUUCUGUUACGAUCUAUCUUGUAAUAAUUUUGGCGAUUGAUUUGACGCGCGCUACAAUACGAGCCGAUUGCAUAUGGCGACGGAUAGUUGAGAAAGUGUAUCCCUCUUUUCAGUGACGGUUUUUUGCAUAUUUUUGUGGCGUCUAGCAUCGAUUGCGGAUAUUAGGUGUAUUUGCAGAAGCGGUAUCUUGUAUCUUGUGCCGUUUGACACUGAUGAAUUACAGAGUACUGCCGCGAAUCUAAUAGCGGUGUUUUUCCAUAACCUCGUAAAUCGUGCGAAGAACAGUCUGUUGCAGGCAGUUUAUGUUAUAGAUAUGGCACCAACAAAAAAAGCCGAUUUAGAAAAGUUAGCAUGGGCAUGGGUAGAAGUCAUUAUUCCAGAACAAAUUGAAAAAAUACAUUUAGAAACUGCAUACAGAAUUGGAUUAAAAAGUUGUAAAAAUUGCAAACGGAAUUGUACAAAUAAUCCUCAAUGCCUGACAGGUUUAGGAGAAGAAAAAUAUAUGAAGUCACAACCCACAGAGGUAGUGCCUUUAGAGAGCUCUCUAUCUGAAUUACGUGAUCCGACGCAAUAUGUCGGAUUAAAAAACUUGGGUGCUACUUGCUACGUUAAUAGUUUAAUUCAAAUGUGGUUUCAUAAUGAAGAUAUGAGGAGGAUAAUAUACAAAUGGGAUAUCACGGAAGAUCCAGAAGAAAGGGACACAUUGCACCAGGCUAAGAAGACAGGACUACCGUAUCAUCCAGUAACCGCGGUUGGCCAAUUGCAAUACAUUUUUGCGAUGAUGCAAUUCGGAAAUCGGAGUCUUCUUGAUCCAAUGAAUCUCGCUGUCGCGUUAUCUCUGGAUACCAGAACACAACAGGACGCUCAGGAGUUCUCCAAGCUGCUACUGUGCCAUAUAGAAGGAAAGCUGCAGCAAAACUCAGAGCUGAAGCAGAUGCUGCAGAGGCUGACCCAGGGAAAAUACAGCUAUAUCAAUUGUUGUUCUACAUGCGGUACCGAGUAUCCGACGUCUACCACAUUCUACGAGUUGGAUCUACAAUUGGCGGCCACCUUGAAGGAGGCGAUAGACAAGUAUUUGUCCGAAGAGCAGCUGACGGGCGCGAAUCAAUAUCACUGUACCACUUGCAAUGACAAAAAGGAUGCCAGGCGAUUCAUACGAUUAGAAACUCUGCCGGAUACUCUAAAUAUUCAAUUGAUGCGUUUUGUAUUUCAUAGGGAUUCUGGGCAGAAGAAAAAGUUAAAUUCAUAUAUCCAGUUUCCCGAAGACCUCGAUAUGUCGGAAUAUGUUAGGUGUCAGCCGCAAACACAUUUGUACAGCCUCGUCGCAGUAUUAAGCCACAAAGGUCCGUCUGCUCACUCUGGACAUUACAUCGCGAAUAUAUGCAAUUCAAGUGGUGAGUGGUAUCAGUUUAGUGACGACAAAGUGGAAAAGAUGCAGAAUAAACGAAUCGAGGAUGGCGUAAAUGAUAAUGUGAAACCGAUGAAACGAGGCCGCGUUCCGAAAGGAUUCCUUUCAUCGAAUACGGCGUAUAUGUUGGUUUAUAAAAAAUUAACUACAGAUUGGCCAAUAAGUGCUACAAAGAAAAUGAAAUUGAGAAAACUUGACACGGAAGUGAGCGUUUCCAGUGAUCCUGUUAACUUGGAAAGGCUUAGUGUUAAAGACAAAUCGGAUACGUUAGAUGAAGCACAACGGAAAAAUGGUGUUGGAAAUGUAUCACCCAUAGAAGAAGAAAAUCCUCAGAGAAUACUCAAACUAGAUUUGGAGAAUAAAAUGGAAAUAGAUGAGUCUGUGGUAUCUGAAAACACUGAUGUGCCAAUAGAAGUUAGAAAUGAUACUGUAGAAACCGUUGUUAAUACGGAUGAAUGUAAAGACAAGCAUGACCCCUUAACGUUGCAACAAUUGCAGAAUAAAAUUCAGCAUCCAAAGAAACCGAUAGUGAAAAUUGUCAAACUUGAUUACAAACGACUAAACGGUGCUGCACACAGAGCUAUGAGCUGCGGAGAGCGAGAUUUUUACGAAGAGAUGGAAUUCGAGAAUUGGCAAGUGAGUAGCACAAUGCGCGAACUUAUCAGGCAAGAAAAUGUUAAGCAUGAAUUGAGUUUGUUAGCCGCCCAGCAAGAAAAGCAAAAAGAAAUUGAAGAUCAUAAUUUCAAACGACAACUUGUCAUAGAUAUAUAUAACAUUAUCGCAUCGACGAUAUCUUGGAACGAGUAUUAUUGGAUACCAACCGACUGGUUAUCGAAAUGGUUAAAUACAUAUUCUACCGCGGACGGUAUUCCCCCGAUUGACAAUUCAAUUUUAAUGUGCUCGCACUAUCGACUCGACCCAUUAAAAGUCAGUCGUGCAAAAUGCAUACCGGUAGCAGUGGCCGACAUACUUUACGAGAGGUAUCGAGGAGGUCCACGACUAGACCAAACAUCUUUGUGCGAAACUUGCGUGAAGAAACGUUGUAAAUUGUUGCGCUUUAAACUAUCAUUAGAACGUGAUCAUAAAGAAAUUAAUGAACUAAUUCGUACAUUCAAAGAACCUUCUGAGACUAGCUAUAUCAUCGGUACUGAUUCGUUACGAUCAUGGCGAAGAUUAGCUAUGGAAACGUUCUUAGAGGGCAUGGAGCAAGAGGCUGACGAUUGCCAGGACACUCCGCAGGAAGAGAGUAAAAACACAGGGAAGGAUAGCAAUGACUGUUCGAAAGAGGUCGAGGAAAACGAUGGAAACGAGAUUAUAAUUAACUUCAACGAAGAUUUACUUUGCGAGCAUAAUUCGCUCAAAACGGCAGACUCCAGCAGGAAAGUGAUACCUCUAGAGGCGUGGUCGAUUCUUCGGAAAUAUUUUCCGGACUCGAAAGAGUAUACUAUCGGAUCACCGUCUUGUUCAAUCUGCGAGGAGAAAAUGGAAAACGCACAAAGAGCGAAGAAAGACGACAAGAUAAAGGCGAAACAGCAGAAAGAUGAGCUCACCGAUUUGUACUAUGGAAGGAAUAGGAAUGAAAUAUCCAAAUGCGACGAUCCAGCGAAACUAUUUUACAUUGUUGAGAAAGGCUUUUUAGAUAGUUGGCGUUCCUUUAUUCGGGCCGUUCUCGGCAUCCUCGUGGAGCGAGUGGAGGUCGGCUCUGUUAGCAAAUCGACCGACUGCGUCGCGGAUGUUCGAUCUCUUCAUGCUGCGAGCGACCGUCGAGGCUUCCUCUCAAUUUAUGCGGAGACACACUCGAGGACACCGCCAUCAGGUAUUCAGAAUGCCUCGCUCCUGUGCGAGCACAAAGGCUUUCUGUACGCGCCCAGGAUCAACAACGAAUUAUACAGUAUAGUAACGGCGGAGGAAUGGUCGAAGCUCGCGCAAUUCUACGAAGUCGACUAUCCCAUUACCAUAAAGAAGACUGAUGACGACUAUCAAACGACUCCCCGUAGCGGCAAAGAGGCCAAAGAUGGAGAACGUACGGCCCUCACGAACCAGAAGAAAAUUAAAAGGCUCGCACGAGCUCAAAGUGUCAUCCGAGAUCACCUUGAAAGAACUCAAAGUGAUGACGAUGCAGAUUUGCGGGGCCGGGCCGUACGACCAACACAUAAUGCUGGGAGAACACGAGCUGACGGAUCAUAGUCAGAGCUUGGCCGCACUCGGAAUAUUUCCCGGAGCGCUCCUCACGUUGAAGAUCGACGCUCCUAUGGAAAACGAGAACGACGUAGAAUCCGACGCCCACAGUUUCGAGGCGACGUCGCCGGAAAAGGGUUUCAAGGGAACGGAACUGGUGCCGAGCUGAUCUGCCUGAUCGAAUAUAAUCGCGUAGCCAAUUCCGUUCAACGUUUAAUAACGAUAGUUGAUUUAACGCAAGAUAUUUUUAUACAUAUAUAUAUAUAUAUACAUAUAUAAGUAUAUGAGUAUAUCCAAUCCUCCCCAAUUAUAUAUGCCCGUUAUCGACAGAUUAUAAGAAAGAAUAUAAGUCUAUGCUGUUGCGUCUACCUAUGCCUAUUCUAAUAUAUUUGUUAAGAAGGAGUAACGCGAUGAGAGAGAGAGAGAGAGGGAGAUAAGAGAUUCAUGAUAUCUAAAAAGGAAGAGAAUAUCGCAGAUAGUGUAAAGAAGCAAGAAUCUUAGAGAAUGAAUUUAUCAAUUUAACGUUACAUGUGCAGAUUCAUGAUUUUUUGCGGGAUUAUCGACGAGACGUCAAACGUGAAUAUAUAUGUACAUAUUUUAUCUUUUUUUUUUAUUUUUUUUUUAUAUAUUUCAUAUGUAUUCGCGUGAGAGAUCGAGAUUUGUGUACUUGUGAAGACUUAGACUACGAGAACGUUUCUGGACUUCUCUUUAUAGCAAAAUAUAUUUUUAACUUUUUUAACAUGCGUGAUUGUAUACACUAGAUAGAUACAACUGUUUGUUAUCAGUACAUUUUGGCCCGGUUUCAAACGCGUCAUAUAUACAUAUAUGUAUGUGUGUUUUUUUAUUUUAUCGAAGCACGUAUUUCACUAAUAGAGCAGCGUCACGCUUUUAACAUGUACGAGAGAAGGAAAAAACGCGUGCCAACGUUAACACAGUGUUGCAUAAUCCAGCUAUUUGUAUCUUACAUAUAUAAUAUAUAUGUGCGACAUUGUUUCCGCGGAGCAACUUUAUAAAGGAAAACGAAAAAUAUUUUUUUUUAUUUCAUGUCUUUUGUGAUUUCCCUCAUAACUUACACAAUAAAACCUGUACAUGGCAAUACGUCCCAGA